GACGAACGCUGGCGGCGUGCUUAACACAUGCAAGUCGAACGGAAAGGCCCUGCUUUUGUGUGGUGCUCGAGUGGCGAACGGGUGAGUAACACGUGAGUAACCUGCCCUUGACUGUGGGAUAACUUCAGGAAACUGGGGCUAUUACCGGAUAGGAGCUCCUGCAGCAUGUUGGGGGUUGGAAAGUUUCGGCGGUUGGGGAUGGACUCGCGGUUUAUCAGCUUGUUGGUGGGGUAGGGGCUUACCAAGGCUUUGACGGGUAGCCGGCCUGAGAGGGUGACCGGCCACAUAGGGACUGAGAUACGGCCCAGACUCCUAAGGGAGGCAGCAGUGGGAAAUAUUGCACAAUGAGCGGAAGCCUGAUGCAGAAACGCCGCGUGCGGGAUGACGGCCUUCGGGUUGUAAACCGCUUUCGCCUGUGACGAAGCGUGAGUGACGGUAAUGGGUAAAGAAGCACCGGCUAACUACGUG
rnacentral:rRNA from 1 species